UCGACAAACGGCAGAGCACGUAACGUAUAUCCGCUACCGCUACCGCUACGCCUGCAUUAUUGUGCAUUUAGAACAAGAUGGCGACACCGGCUCCACCAUUCUGAAAUGUUGGCCCAUGCAUGGUUACGCCACUGAGACAAGCCGGAAGCAGGGUCUGAGGCUAAGCGGAGUUGCGGGAUUUUUAAAAAUAUGCCUAUACCCAGCAACAUCUAUGUUCAACUUCAAAAAGUCGAAAAGUGAUUUACAAUCGCAAAUAGCCUGUAGGUAACAUUAAAGAACAUUUUCGGCGCCGACAAAUUUUAAACAAAAUGUAAAUUUUUGAAAAUAUUGAAAUAAAUUAUUUGAAAAUUUAA